UACAGAGGGUGCGAGCGUUGUCCGGAAUCACUGGGCGUAAAGGCGCGUAGGCGGCCCGGUAAGGUUGCGGUGAAAGCCCGGGCUCAACCCCGGGUCGGCCGUGGCAACUGCUGGGCUGGAGCACAGUAGAGGCGGGUGGAAUUCCGGGUGUAGCGGUGGAAUGCGUAGAGAUCCGGAAGAACACCGGUGGCGAAGGCGGCCCGACUGG
rnacentral:rRNA from 1 species